GGCCAGACUCCUACGGGAGGCAGCAGUGGGGAAUAUUGCACAAUGGGGGAAACCCUGAUGCAGCGACGCCGCGUGAGUGAAGAAGUAUUUCGGUAUGUAAAGCUCUAUCAGCAGGGAAGAAAAUGACGGUACCUGACUAAGAAGCCCCGGCUAACUACGUGCCAGCAGCCGCGGUAAUACGUAGGGGGCAAGCGUUAUCCGGAUUUACUGGGUGUAAAGGGGGCGCAGACGGCGAUGCAAGCCAGGAGUGAAGGCCCGGGGCCCAACCCCGGGACUGCUCUUGGAACUGCGUGGCUGGAGUGCAGGAGGGGCAGGCGGAAUUCCUGGUGUAGCGGUGAAAUGCGUAGAUAUCAGGAGGAACACCGGUGGCGAAGGCGGCCUGCUGGACUGCAACUGACGUUGAGGCCCGAAAGCGUGGGGAGCAAACAGGAUUAGAUACCCCAGUA
rnacentral:rRNA from 1 species